GACGUAGGGGGCGAGCGUUGUCCGGAAUUACUGGGCGUAAAGAGCACGUAGGCGGGAACUUAAGUCAGGUGUGAAAGACCGAGGCUCAACCUCGGGGUGGCACUUGAAACUGGGUUUCUUGAGGGCAGGAGAGGAAAGUAGAAUUCCUGGUGUAGCGGUGAAAUGCGUAGAAAUCAGGAGGAAUACCAGUGGCGAAGGCGACUUUCUGGACUGACCCUGACGCUGAGGUGCGAAAGCGUGGGUAGCAAACAGG
rnacentral:rRNA from 2 species